rnacentral:rRNA from 1 species
UACGAAGGGGGCUAGCGUUGCUCGGAAUUACUGGGCGUAAAGGGCGCGUAGGCGGACAGUUUAGUCAGAGGUGAAAGCCCAGGGCUCAACCCUGGAAUUGCCUUUUGAUCAGCUGGCUGUCUUGAGUACGGGAGAGGUGUGUGGAACUCCGAGUGUAGAGGUGAAAAUUCGUAGAAUAUUUCGGAAGAACACCAGUGGCGAAGGCGACAC